CGGGGCGUAGCGCAGCCUGGUAGCGCACUUGCAUGGGGUGCAAGGCGUCGAAGGUUCACAUCCUUCCGUUCCGACCA
rnacentral:tRNA from 1 species